CCUACGGGAGGCAGCAGUGGGGAAUAUUGGGCAAUGGGCGCAAGCCUGACCCAGCAACGCCGCGUGAAGGAAGAAGGCUUUCGGGUUGUAAACCCCUUUUAAGAGGGGAGAGAAGAAGACGGUACCUCUUGAAUAAGCCACGGCCAACUACGUGACAGCAGCCGCGGUAAUACGUAGGUGGCAAGCGUUGUCCGGAUUUACUGGGUGUAAAGGGCGUGCAGGCGGGCUGACAAGUCAGAUGUGAAAUCCCGGGGCUUAAACGCCGAACUGCAUUUGAAACUGGCAGUCUUGAGUACCGGAGAGGUCAUCGGAAUGCCUGGUGUAGCGGUGAAAUGCGUAGAUAUAAGGAAGAACACCAGUGGCGAAGGCGGAUGACUGGACGGCAACUGACGGUGAGGCGCGAAAGCGUGGGGAGCGAACAGGAUUAGAUACCCCUGUAGUC
rnacentral:rRNA from 1 species